UAUCUGUCUCUUUCUCACAACAGUGGUUUAACGUGAGAAAAAACGUUUACACUCUUUUAUCAGCACCCUCUUCAUUGGCUUCGAUGUGUUUGUGCUGGAGCACCGCCAUCUUAAGUAGCCCGCUUAGCUUACUCGUGGAAGUUAUCACCGUGAGGAUUUUACGUUUUUCCGAGGAAAUCCCGUGUUUUUCUACUGUUUACCAAGUUGUGCUUAUAUUAAUCGUUAAUAAACAACAAAUGAAGUAUUCAAUAGCAUAUUGUGGCUUAUGCCAAAGCAAAAAUAGGCCGAAUUUAACCUUUCACCGUUUACCAAGGAACGAAUCUCGGCGAAGGGAAUGGCUACAAAUAAUUGGCAUAGAAAAUAUCCGGCCGGGAACAAAAGACAUCUACCUAUGUGUGCUCAAUGCACUUUGAAGAGAGUGCAUUCAAUAAAACUUUAAAUAUAGUUAGAUGGAGAGAUGAUGCUAUCCCAACAAUAUUUGCAAAGGCAGACCAUCCAUCCCCAUCUGCAUUAAUGGACAUUACAACUACCACUGAUCAACCACCAAACACCAUUGAUCAACCAUCAUGCUCAAGUAAUCCUCCACGAUAAUGUUUAUAUUUUAAGAUUUUAUAAAAAUAGAAUUGCUACUUUGUUAGCAAACAACAUAAAAGAACUGACGGGUUUACAUUGUGGUAAACGAUUCUUUACAUUUCUUUACAUUCUUUACAUAAUCUGUCAAAAUCGACAAAAUCAUCAAAUUUUUGUAAUGAUGAUUCUGUGGACGCAACACGUGAUUUAAACUAAACCUUAGGUCUGUUUGUAUUAGUGUUGAGGUAUCUUGUGCCGAACUUGAGGAACACAUUGUUAUUUGUAUUUAUAGUCCACUCAAUAAUAGUUUUAUUAAUUUCCUGAAUGUAAUAAAUAAAUAAUAAUAAUUUUAUUUAUUUUUUCACAAAAUUUUUACAUUUGGUGCAUGCAAGUAACAGGGUUAACACUUAUACUACUACUUUUAAUAAAAUAGGUAAUUACUGUAAAUUUUGUGAAGACUGGCGCUUGAAAUAGGCUUAAACUGCCUGUCGUACAAGACACCAGGUCUCCACAUCCUAGAUAAGGCUUCUAUUAUAAUUUUAACAAAUUGUGACAUAUAUCUUUGAACUCAGUUCACACACAUAUAAUUAUAUCUAUAGAACCGAGAUGCUUGCGUUGGGUGUAUAAGAUAAACAAUAUAGGAACAUACAAUAUAAAAAAAAAAUAUUUAAGGGCAUACAUAGGUACAUAUAGACACAAACGCAUAUAUAAAUAUUCGUGCAUAAGAAAGUGAUUUUUUUUUCUUUAUUUAAAUUUAUAUUUCUCUUGCGUUGGGGAGCCUUAUGCCUUAUUUUUAUUUUAUUUUAUUUUUGUUAAUAUGUGUUUUGGUUUUUUUUUUCAUUAUUUUAAUGGUGUCAAGAGGUGAUCUAUAUCAUAUUCAUUUAGAUGGAGUAAAUAGUUAAAUUACUUAUCUUUUAAUUGUUUGUUAGUGUACUUAAUAAUAUUUAAUCUGUUUUGAAGGAUGGUAUAUAUUCUUGGGGCUAGAAAGUUGUAUAAUCUUUGAGCAAAGCGAGUCUUACAUAGGGGUACAUUAAACCGAUAUCUUCUAGUGUCAGACAGUAAGGUUUGUGCAGAAUGACGGUGAAA